GCUGGCGUAGCUCAAUUGGCUAGAGCGGCUGAUUUGUAAUCAGCAGGUUGCGGGUUCGAUUCCCAUCGCCAGCUCCA
rnacentral:tRNA from 1 species